CGGCGGGCCUGUUCCGUCGCCCCGUUCCCCUUCCCCCACGAACAAAACCCCGGCGCACGAUGCGCCAAGGAAUCGCAACGAGAAAAGGAACGUGCACCCGUCGCGCGCCGGGAACGGAAUGCGCACGGGCGGCCUCGUAUUCUUUGAAAACAAAACGACUCUCGGCAACGGAUAUCUCGGCUCUCGCAUCGAUGAAGAACGUAGCGAAAUGCGAUACUUGGUGUGAAUUGCAGAAUCCCGUGAACCAUCGAGUCUUUGAACGCAAGUUGCGCCCGAAGCCUUCGGGCCGAGGGCACGUCUGCCUGGGUGUCAUGCACCGUCGCCCCCCAUCCCCACUCCCCCGAGGGGAGUCGGGAAGCCCGGGGCGGACAAUGGCCUCCCGUGCGCUCUCGCUCGCGGUUGGCCUAAAUCCGAGUUGUUGGCGGCGAGCGCCACGGCAAGCGGUGGUUGGAAAGACCCUCUGAAGUGUCG
rnacentral:rRNA from 1 species